rnacentral:rRNA from 1 species
AUUNGGGCUUGAUNCUGAANCCUCGGCGGNCGGGUGAGUACNCGUGGGUACCUGCCUGUUAGACUGGGAUAACUCCGGGANACCGGGGCUAAUACCGGAUAACACCUACCCCCGCNUGGGGGAAGGUUGAAAGGUGGCUUCNGCUAUCACUUACNGAUGGACCCGCGGCGCAUUAGCUAGUUGGUGAGGUAAUGGCUCACCAAGGCGACGAUGCGUAUCCGACCUGAGAGGGUGAUCGGCCACACUGGGACUGAGACACGGCCCACACUCCUANGGAGGCAGCAGUAGGGAAUCUUCCGCAAUGGACGAAAGUCUGACGGAGCAACGCCGCGUGAGUGAAGAAGGUUUUCGGAUCGUAAAACUCUGUUGUUAGGGAAGAACAAGUGCCGUUCGAAUAGGGCGGCGCCUUGACNGUACCUAACCAGAAAGCCACGGNUAACUACGUG